AAGAACCUUGCAUUGAAGAUG
rnacentral:miRNA from 1 species